CCCUGGGCAAACAGAGACACUUACGAUGUCCCAUACUCCACCAAGGCCCAACCAUCUCACUGUCACAGAGACUGACAUCUACAGUCCCAGGAGUGGGCGUCUCCCAGAGAGGACCCAUAGGGAUUCUGAACUGACCCCCUGUGGCUUACACCUUCCUUAAAUCUGAUCUACUGUAGUCUCUUGCUCAUCAAUGAUCUGACAUCUUGUUUUAAGCUCCAAAAUAGCAAUUCACUUUUGUCUUGUAGGCUAACUUAGAUUGGCUGAAAGUGGUUGCCUGAGUGCUGUGUUAAGAAGGAUUCCGAGGCCAUGUCUGGGCUCAAGGAGAAAAUAUUGCAAUGGAUCAACUGUAGCUGCCAAGAUUUCCUCGGGGAACCUCAACAGCCCUUCCCUUCUGUCAUGAAGAGCAAUCCAGUUCUUUCCCAGCUCCUACCUCCCAGUUCAUCCUGAGACUCCUGGACGAGAGCCGGGCCGGAUAGUUAAUAAAACAACGGCCAGUAAUGACCCCCGUCCUGUAGCAGACAGAGCUUUCACACCCUCACUGAAAGGAUGAGGCCCACGCUGGAUGGAUGCUGAGAAAAGACAAUCUCUCCUCAAACUACCCAAUAAUUUGCCCAAAGCCGCAGAGCUGGUAAUAUGGUGGAGCAGGGACUUCAAUGUGGACAGUCAGAUUCUAGACUGUCCAACAGAAACAUAAUGCAAGCCACAUAUGCCAUUUUAAUGUUAUGGUAGCUACGUUUACAAAGCAAAAAGAAGCAGGGGAAAUUAAUGUUUUAUUUAACCCAAUGGAUACAAAAGAUAAUUUCAACACAUCAUCAAUAUAAAAUUACUGAGAUAUUUUGUAUUUUUUAUACUAAGUCUUUGAAGUCUGAUGUGUCUUUUAUACUUAUAGUACAUCUCAAUUCAAUCACUAUAUUUUCAUUGGGAAGACGAUUUGUAUUUCUAGUUCAUGAAAUUUACAUUGAAAACAUAGAUACACGUCCCUAAGCUGUUCCGAAUAAACUUAAAGUUUCCCAGUAACUGAAUCAAGUAGAAGUUUUUACAUUGACAUUUAAAUUGAAGUUAAAUAAAAUUGCAAAUUCAGUUCCUCGGUCACACUAGGCACAUUUAAAACACUCAGAAGCCACGUGUGCUAGUGGCUACCGUAUUGGAUAGCAUAGUUCUGGAAGCUGCACACUUAAGCUCCUUUUUUGUCGAUUCCCUGUACCCAAGUUCACAGUUACGUGUUGGCAGGUGUGCAUCUGUAUUUAGGUGGUGCACAAUCUCUACAACUGGAAGACUGGGG
rnacentral:lncRNA from 1 species